GAAUUCGGGACGAAUUUUUAGAAAUCCGAACCCGAACCCGACUCCAAACUCGAGACCCGAAUCCGAAUCCGAACCCAAACCUUACGGAUUUUAAAAAUUCAUAUCCAAACCCGAACCCGAGCAAUAAUCCGAAACCCGAACUCGAACCCGAACCCGAACCCGAACCCGAACCUUACGGAUUUUAAAAAUUCAUAUCCAAACCCGAACCCGACCAAUAAUCCGAAACCCGAACCCGAUCCCGAACCCAAAAAUUUGAACCCGAAAUAAUUAUUUUUUUUUAAUAUUUUAAAAUAUAUUAUAUUAAAUCUAAAUUUUUAAAAUACAAAUUUAAAUAUAACAUCAAAUUUAUAUAUAUAUAUAUAUAUAUAUUAUAUAAUACAAAAUAAAUUCGGGUUCGGAUUCGGAUCGGGUACAGUCAAAAUUCAUAUUCGAAUUCGUAUCCGUCGGAUUUCUAUUUUUGAUAUUCAUAUACGAAUCCAUAUCUAUUUAGUAUCAGAUAUAUCCGUUUCAUUCAGAUUCGGAUUCGAAUAAAAUUUCGGAUAUCCAUAUAGAUUGACAUCCCUAUUUGGAGCGUAUCAACAUAUAGAUUCUUGUGUUGUGAGUAGU
rnacentral:lncRNA from 1 species